AUCAAUGGCCAUACCAGUCUGAAAAUGCCAUCAGAAGCCAUCCAGACUUGGGCCUGGUUAGUACUUGUAUGGGAGACCAACUAGGAACCUCAGGUGCCAUAAGUU